rnacentral:tRNA from 1 species
GAGGUAUCAAAAUCAGCAUGAAGGGCUGCUAACUCUUUAUGGAGUACAAAAGUAUUCAUACUUCU